rnacentral:rRNA from 1 species
UACGUAGGGGGCGAGCGUUGUCCGGAUUUACUGGGCGUAAAGCGCGUGUAGGCGGCCCGUUAAGUGGGGUGUGAAAGCCCGGGGCUCAACCCCGGGACGCCGCUUCAAACUGGCGGGCUUGAGGACGGAAGAGGGGAGUGGAAUUCCUGGUGUAGCGGUGAAAUGCGUAGAGAUCAGGAGGAACACCCGUGGCGAAGGCGGCUCCCUGGGCCGAUACUGACGCUGAGGAGCGAAAGCGUGGGGAGCGAACAGG